rnacentral:rRNA from 1 species
UAAUACGUAGGGGGCGAGCGUUGUCCGGAUUUAUUGGGCGUAAAAGGCUUGUAGGUGGCCACGCCAAGUCGGAUGUGAAAUCUCCCGGCUCAACUGGGAGGGGUCAUUCGAUACUGGCGGGCUCGAGGCCGGUAGGGGGAAGUGGAAUUCCCGGUGUAGUGGUGGAAUGCGUAGAUAUCGGGAGGAACACCAGUGGCGAAGGCGGCUUCCUGGACCGGUUCUGACACUGAGGAGCGAAAGCGUGGGGAGCGAUCCGGAUUAGAUACCCGGGUAGUCCACGCCGUAAACGUUGGGCACUAGGUGUCGGGGGUAUCGACCCCUCCGGUGCCGCAGCUAACGCAUUAAGUGCCCUGCCUGGGGAGUACGGCCGCAAGGCUA